CAUUCUCCCCAACGGCGUAUAAAUAGCCCUAAUCGACCGAAUGAUAGGCUUUCUCGAAGUCUACCUUAAAUAACAAAAGCUUCUUUUUAGACUUGCACACCUCAUCUACCACCUCAUUCACGAUGAGGAUAUCAUCAAGAAUUUGUCGAUCUUUCACAAACACAGUCUAUGACUCAGAAAUCGCACUGCCAAUCAUCAUCCUCGGUCUGUUUGAUAAAACUUUUGCCAUAAUUUUAUACAGGCUCCCCACCAACUCAGUGAUAAACCACAUAAUAUUUGCCUAUAAUUUCAGCCAAAAGUCUUUAAUAAAACCAAAAUUUAUGCCAUCGGGAAUCAAAAUUAUGGAAAAUAAAAUUGGGAGACCAAAAUUGCGGAUUUUGUACAAUAGAAGGAUCAAAAUUGCAUUUAACCCUAAUUUCUUAAUUCCCAAUUGCUUCAUGUAUCUUUUUGUAUUUGUUUAGUGAUAUAUUUUGUUAUUUUUAAUUUUCUUCUAGUAGAGGCGUCCAUUCUCUGAUUAUAUUUUCACUCUGUUUUCCUUCUUUGUCAUUUGUUUCUCCUAAAUUGAAUAUUAAAAAAAAAAAAAUAGUGAAUGAUAANNNNNNNNNNNNNNNNNNNNNNNGAACAUUUAAUAAGUAUUGCUAGCUCAUGUCUGUAAUAUAUGUAUUAAUUUCUAGAAUAUUAUAUCUGAUAAUAAAUACUAGAUCGCAUUUCCGUGAGUUGGCACGUGUCAUAUAUAUAUGUAUGCAAAUAAUAAUCAUGGUUAUAUAUAACAAAAUACUAUAUAUAAAUUGGUAAUAAGAAGCUAGCACAUCGUUUAAUCCAACAGGAUCAACUCAACUUCAUAUGAGUUAACUCGUCUAAAUUAUAAAUAAUUCUAAAUAAUUUUUUUUCUUUUUCAAAUUGCCUAGUGGGAUUGAAUGUUGCUAGAAAAAUAGCUUUCCCAUUCAAAUUUACCUAAAGCAUAUGGUUGCUAACAUAAGCUACUCUAUAAUCAAUUAUAAACCAAAACUCCAUAAAAAAUUAUUUCUCUCAA
rnacentral:lncRNA from 1 species